GAUGAAGAACGCAGCGAAAUGCGAUAAGUAAUGUGAAUUGCAGAAUUCAGUGAAUCAUCGAAUCUUUGAACGCACCUUGCGCUCCUUGGUAUUCCGAGGAGCAUGCCUGUUUGAGUGUCAUUAAAUUCUCAACCUCACCAGUUUUCUGAACUGUUCUUCGAGGCUUGGAUGUGGGGGUUUGUGCAGGCUGCCUCACGGCGGUCCGCUCCCCUGAAAUGCAUUAGCGAGUUCAUACUGAACUUCCGUCUAUUGGUGUGAUAAUUAUCUACGCCGUGGACGAGGAUCAGACUCGCUUCUAACCGUCCGCGAGGACAAUACCUUGACAAUUUGACCUCAAAUCAGGUAGGACUACCCGCUGAACUUAAGCAUAUCAAUAACGGAGGA
rnacentral:misc_RNA from 1 species